rnacentral:lncRNA from 1 species
CUCUCACUCUCUGUUUCUUUGUAUAUCUUAAAGUACGAAGUCGGUGGCCUUUGCCACCGACCAAAACACCUCGCCCUUUUCCUUCUCAGCUUUCACGUAUCUUGCAACGGUGUGUCCCCUUCUGCUAUUAUCUCCAAGUGCUACUUUCACCUUUUUCUCAGAUGAGAGCAAUCUGAAGUCUUCAGUGCAAAAUUCAGAAGAUUAGAAGUUAGAACACAUAAGAAAUCAAGAAAUCAUCAAAUUCCGGUAAUGCUAUAACGAAUUGCAGCAAUGGUUGCAGGCUACCAGGACCUUUAUUUUGCUGUUCAGGACGUGGUUGACCAUUUACUAGCUUACCUGUACUCUUUGUGUAUCUGCCGAGCAAACCAAGGACCAUAGGUACAUUAUGGAGCUUGCACAGGAAGGAGCGGGUCGUUGUGGGAUAUGGAUCAUGAACGAUAUUUGAACUUAUAACUAUUUUGGAGUUUACACUACUAUGCUUCCGCUACUUAAACAAUGUUUGGUUUUGAAACAUCAAUCAUGUCAUGAUGAACUACCUUAAUUACUUUUAUUAUUAUUAAAUGCUAUGUUUGAUAUGAUUGAUGGCUUGAUCCUG